rnacentral:misc_RNA from 1 species
GAUGAAGAACGUAGCGAAAUGCGAUACGUAGUGUGAAUUGCAGAAUUCCGUGAACCAUCAAAUCUUUGAACGCAUAUUGCGCUCGAGGCUUCGGCCGAGAGCAUGUCUGCCUCAGCGUCGGUAUUACCCCUCGCUUCUCAACCCCUGGUUGAUGCCUGCCUGCCUUUGCAGUUGGCUAGAAGCGGAUCUGGCUUUCCCAAUUGCCUUUGGUAGUUGGGUCAGCUGAAGCACAGAGGCUUGAGCAAGGACCCUUAUUGGGCUUCAACUGGAUAGGUAGAACUGGUCUUAGGACCAACUACACGAAGUUGUUGCUUGUGGUCUUUGUCUGGAGGCUAGCAGGAAACCUUUAUACCUUCGACCUGAGCUCAGGCAAGAUUACCCGCUGAACUUAAGCAUAUCAAUAAGCGGAGGA